UACGGGGGGGGCAAGCGUUGUUCGGAAUUACUGGGCGUAAAGGGCUCGUAGGUGGCCAACUAAGUCAGACGUGAAAUCCCCAGGCUUAACCUGGGAACUGCGUCUGAUACUGGAUGGCUUGAAUUCGGGAGAGGGAUGCAGAAUUCCAGGUGUAGCGGUGAAAUGCGUAGAUAUCUGGAGGAAUACCGGUGGCGAAGGCGGCAUCCUGGACCGAGAUUGACACUGAGGAGCGAAAGCUAGGGAGCGAACGGG
rnacentral:rRNA from 1 species